UACGGAGGGUGCAAGCGUUAUCCGGAUUCACUGGGUUUAAAGGGUGCGUAGGAGGGCAGGUAAGUCAGUGGUGAAAUCUCCAAGCUUAACUUGGAAACUGCCGUUGAUACUAUCUGCCUUGAAUGUUGUGGAGGUGAGCGGAAUAUGUCAUGUAGCGGUGAAAUGCUUAGAUAUGACAUAGAACACCAAUUGCGAAGGCAGCUCACUACACAAUUAUUGACUCUGAGGCACGAAAGCGUGGGGAUCAAACAGG
rnacentral:rRNA from 1 species